UACGUAGGGUGCGAGCGUUGUCCGGAAUUACUGGGCGUAAAGAGCUCGUAGGUGGUUUGUCGCGUUGUUCGUGAAAACUCACAGCUUAACUGUGGGCGUGCGGGCGAUACGGGCAGACUGGAGUACUGCAGGGGAGACUGGAAUUCCUGGUGUAGCGGUGGAAUGCGCAGAUAUCAGGAGGAACACCGGUGGCGAAGGCGGAUCUCUGGGCCUGUUCUGACGCUGAGGCGCGAAAGCUAGGGGAGCGAACAGG
rnacentral:rRNA from 1 species